GGCCAGUCAAGGAGCCUUGCUGCUUGUGGCCAGCCUACCCCGGUUGCAGGAUUCUCAAGUCAGGCCUUAGCAGCAGCACCAGGGACCACUUGUCCUGAGCAUCUGCCCUUCAAAGUUCCCAAAAGAGGCCCUGCUGCUCUGCAGCACUUGACAGUUGGAACCAGAAAUCAACAAGCCACUGGGCUCCAUGCAGUAAGCUCAUAGGAAACAUCCUGACCAGGCCCACCUGUGAAUGUCAGCAGGGAGAAGAAAUUAACACAUCCCCUCUGGAGGCUGAUGGGAACCAGAAAGUGUCUGACUUUACUCCCUCUCCUUUUGGUAUAAGAGAAGGCUGAAUUCUGAUUCUGGCAAGGUGGUUUUUUGGGCCUAAGUCUACUAUCUUCUCAGUUUGGUAGCUUUCUGAAUAAAGUAGCUAUUUCUUGCCUCAACAA